rnacentral:rRNA from 1 species
UUGUCGAAACCUGCAAAGCAGAACGACCCGAGAA